AUGACCAUUUUUCCAUCUGUAAAAAAAAUGAAGAAGGCAAAGUACUUUGCAGUCUGUAAAAAAAAUCGAAGACGGCAGAGAGAAUGCACAUCACACAGAUCAACCAGGCGGAUUGAUGAUAUGGCAGCUAUCCAACACCGCCCGCUGCUCCUAUGCACGAUCCACACCACCCAUUCCCCCACCUGUCCACCAGCCUCCACAACCACCCACCCGCCCACCUGCCACACACGGACGCAGUCCACACCCACCCACGUGUUGUCUCCCUAUCCUCUCUCUCACACACAAGUUUCACAUCCACCCACGCACACACAUGCCACCAGCCCACCACCCACUCGGACUACCCAUGCCCACGAUGUGGAUGUUGACCGGCUGGACGGCGAGCGGCGUGGAUGGCGACUGGCGCCAGGGAGCGCGGCGGCCGGCGACUGGCGCAAGGGAGCGCAGCGCGGGAGCAUGGCUUGGCGGCGGCACGGGCUAGGGCAGCGCUGGCCGCGGCAGAGCGCGGCUGGGCGCCGGCACGGCGAGCAGGGCAUGGCGGCCGCGGGAUCCUCUUCCUCCAUCCUGCCGCGGACCUCUCCUCCUCUGCGCUCACGCUCAACGGCCUCGUCUACAUCGUCCAUGGACGGGCUGUGGUCAUGGCAGGGGAACAGAGCCCUCCACCUCCCCGGCCCCUUGUGCGCUAGCGGCGCGGACCUCGACAUCCCCGGCGGCGCUCUAGCUGACGGCAAAUAUGGUUUUCUUUGCUGUCUGCUAUUACUGGGCUUGACGGCAAAGACAGAGUUGGCUGAUGGCAAAAUCUUUGCUGUCUUCCCGACGGAAAGUUGA
rnacentral:rRNA from 1 species